GUUUCAUUUAAAUUUUUAUUAGAAUUUUAUUUUUUAGUCAAAAAGCUAAAAUUUAUUCAAAAGACGAGAAGACCCUAUAAAUCUUAAUUAUUUAAAAAAUUUUARUUUAUUUUGAAAUAUUUAAUUAUUAUUUUUAAAAUAAUUUUAUUGGGGUGAUAUUAAAAUUUAAUUAACUUUUAAUUUGGUUUUUCAUUUAUUUAUGAUUAAUUGAUCCAUUUUUAGUGAUUAAGAAAUUAAGUUACUUUAGGGAUAACAGCGUAAUUUUUUUGGAGAGUUCUUAUCGAUAAAAAAGUUUGCGACCUCGAUGUUGGAUUAAGAUUCAUAUUUAAAUGCAGAAGUUUAAAUAUUAAGUCUGUUCGACUUUAAUAUCUUACAUGAUCUGAGUUCAAACCGGUGUAAGCCAGGUUGGUUUCUAUCUUUGAUUGUUUAAAAUAUUUUAGUACGAAAGGAAUAAAUAUUUAUUUUAUAAAAAUUUAUAUAUGAAU
rnacentral:rRNA from 1 species